CUUACACACACCCGCUUAAAAAGAAUUUAAACUGCACCACGCGGCGCAUAAAAAUCAUCGAGCUCUCAGAUUCAUGCGACCGCCGAAAAUUGGCACCAUGCUUCCGUCUUUUGCAACGCGUAUUUAUCUAUUUGACAAAAGUCUUCUUUAUGCAAUGGCUGUUACCAUGUGACCUGUACUUGGCAAUUCUCUGUCAAUUGGGGCAAAAACGUGCAAUAAAGGUCUUCAUUCAUUCAAAAACAUUUUUCUUUUACGUCGAAAAAUGGAAAUAGCCUGGUUCUUCAGUGACUCAGUAAGGCUUAUAACAGUAACAUAUGCUCUGUACCUGGUAUCGACUAGUCUAUCGUUGCUUGCGCAUACACAGGCUCGCUCCGGGACCUAAGCUUUCUUUCGCACCUGGUAAGAUUUGUACGCUGUAGGAGUUACUUGUAAAUUGGCCGCCCGCGUGAAAAUCCUGCUGCGAUAAAUUUUUACCGGGUGCAAAGGAUAACCUCGACGGCAGAGAUCAUCAUCUGUUCCGGAUCGAGCCCAGCCGAGCCACGAAAGACUGAAUACCAAUAGAGUUACUGUGAUAUCUUGAUAGCUAGAAAAUAUGUCAUGAUUUCAUUCACAGACAUCCAUUAAUACGAUUUCUCAUGCUAUUAUGUCAUCUAGAGAAAUAAGAUUCAAAAUGUGGUUAAAUGACUUGUGCUUUGUUGCGAAAUGACUUGUGCCUUAUUGUGAAACGACUCACCUUUAGGCGAAAUGACUCGACUCUGGCGAACUGACGAAAUGACUUGUUACCCCCACAGAGACAUCACCACAUAAAGUAUGAUUCUCAUCAGAACGUCAUCAAAAAGACUAGACCAUAGGUGUAUGUAUUAAGGAACACAACUUCAGUAAUGUGCUGGUUGUUAAGCCUAAUUAAAUCACGCUUCCUAGCGAUCCUCGGGUGAAGCACUGUUACAUACACGUGGACUUUUUCCUACUCACUCGUGUGAACACCGAGAAGCCGUCUUUCCUCUCUCUGGGCUAUGGGCAUAAAAUACAACACAGGGUAUUCCGUAUAACCCGCGGUACCAGCCCGACCGUGGAUAGGGUCGCCCGGAGGGUAUUUACCAUACAGAAAACAACAUACGUUUUAUCUAUUCAUUCAUUUAUUCAUUCGUUUGGCUGAUAUACGUUUGAAUGCGAGAUGCGGAAUUUGAUGUCAAUUGUAAUAACAUCAAUUCCAACGCCCGAAUCCAGUAAUCGAAUUUUCAACAGCAGUGCACUCGAAUAUUCUAUGGAAGCCCUUGUCGUAACUGUGUUACCACCCCAUGUAAUAACCCAAUAUAUCAUCCGGUCUGGAACACCCGUAUCAAACGUUAUCGUGUCCCAGGUAUGACACGAAUUAAUUGCCCAACAACACAACCCCUGGCUGAAUAAUGUCGGUUUAUUCAGUGGUUGUAGAAAUCGCCCAGGUCUGAUGGCAGCAUACCAAGUCGGGAGGUCACUAACCUAGGGUAUCUGCCAUUAAUGGAGGCAUCGACAGUUUUCAUGCUUCACCGGCUACAGUAGCUGACGACGAUGUUUUUUGCACGUACAACUUAAACAUACAUCAUCGAAACAAUGAAGAAGCGGCUCUGGCCCUGACCUCUGACAGGCUAUACAAGCGGAACAACAGGUUUUCAACGGAGAGUUGAGCGGAGUGAAGCUAAAACUAGACACACGUCUGAGAGGUGCAGGCGACAUCCCUGUCUUGAGAAGUGUAUAGGACAACCUUGUCUCCACUGCAAGGCUCGAUAACCAUGGGAUACAAACUGGCGACGUUCCUGGGUCUGUCCGCCCUCGUGAUUGUGCUGAUGGUGGACCAGGCAGACUCGGUGUGCUGCCCUGCAAGAAGGCAAUGCCCUUCAUGCCCACUGCGAUGUGGCGAUGGAACAAGGGCGGACCCCCACUGUGGGAAAGGGAGGUGCAACUCUGAUGGGUGUAACUGUGCGGGUGGAUGCAGGCCAACACUACAUGGACAAGUGCGAAUGUUUUUCCGGAGGUCGGCUGACACACUGAAAGGUGGACCUGAAAGUCAUGUCGUCAACAAAGGCCAAGACCGGAUUGCUGAAAAAGCACGCGGCCUUCUUGAGCAGCUGCGUGGAGGGCAGGGCGCCUAGACUGAACCUUUGGACCCCGGAAUGGCGAUUGUCAAAACGCAUCCCGCGUGUGCCCCAGCACCAUCCUGGCCUUCCUGCCGUGACUACAGAUCAGCCGCAUAGAAUUUAGCUGCUUUUGCCUCAUUUAACCAUGACAAAGCACGUGAGAGGAUAUCAGAGUUCUUUUGGUUAAAUUUUUGAUAUGCAUAAUGUAAGGAUGUAAGGAGUGUCAUUUUGGUUCCAUUGAAAGCACAUAAGCCCUCGUCGUACAACUAUAGGUCUUAGGAUCUUGGACCUUUCUUUUGCACAAAGUGAAAUGUCUCCCACCUGCUUACGUUUCGAUACUGAGACCUUCCUCAGAGCUUCUGACUGGAGUGCUGCGCUUCGCUGACACCUACUUCGACUAUGUAAUGCGACGAAAAGCAGGGUCCAGUCAGAAGCCGAUCAAUAGCACAUCGUGGAAUGAUCCGAAAACAAAAAUUGAGCAAUGGGAAAACAAAAACGGUGGGAAGAACCAAGCGAACAGGGAAGGCUCCACAACUAGAAUUGGAGCUCAGGGACAAUGGUUGGAGCAGGUCCUAGCCGUAACGCGAUUAGUCAACCAACAGUCGGUACCAACACGAUUAACAACAACAAACUCCAAACUGUCAAAACCUAAAACUUAUGUUAAAAGGAAAUGUUUCUUGUACCGUAUGUCCCAUCAAUUGCAUAAAACACAUUACAUGAUAGUUAAUGUAUGGGUUUGCAUUUUUCUGAAGCAAUUCUAUUGUUACGUGGUCUCUCAUGUAUUUUAGUGUAAUUGUUCUUUAGUUUGUUUCCCUGUCUGUAAGUGAUAUUGUAUAAUGUGCUUGUAUUGAUGUACUUCAUGUGUAGAGCCACAGGGAGAAUAGCUAACAGAAAUGCCAAACUAACUGUGGAUCCAGAUAAAAUCAAAGCCAACGCUUGGAUAAGCUGAGAGGAAAUGUCUGAACGUAAGCAGUUGAGAGACAUUACUGGGAAGCUUGCUUUUUAGUCCAGAGGUCCUUUUUUAACGUUAUUCUUAUAUUACUUUUAUCUUCAAAAUUUCAAAUUCAUUUAAUGAGUUGAGAAACCCAUGUGCCAGCUUCGCUUCGACCACUCUAUGAUAUCCAAGAUCUUCUGCCGGCAAUAAAGA